rnacentral:rRNA from 1 species
UGGGCGCAAGCCUGAUGCAGCGACGCCGCGUGAGGGAUGAAGGCCUUCGGGUUGUAAACCUCUUUCAGUAGGGAAGAAGCCGGCCCUUUGGGUUGGUGACGGUACCUGCAGAAGAAGCGCCGGCUAACUACGUGCCAGCAGCCGCGGUAAUACGUAGGGCGCAAGCGUUAUCCGGAAUUAUUGGGCGUAAAGAGCUCGUAGGCGGUUUGUCGCGUCUGCCGUGAAAGUCCGGGGCUUAACUCCGGAUCUGCGGUGGGUACGGGCAGACUAGAGUGCAGUAGGGGAGACUGGAAUUCCUGGUGUAGCGGUGAAAUGCGCAGAUAUCAGGAGGAACACCGAUGGCGAAGGCAGGUCUCUGGGCUGUAACUGACGCUGAGGAGCGAAAGCAUGGGGAGCGAACAGGAUUAAAUACCCUGGUAGUCCAUGCCGUAAACGUUGGGCACUAGGUGUGGGGGACAUUCCACGUUUUCCGCGCCGUAGCUAACGCAUUAAGUGCCCCGCCUGGGG